UUGUUUCCAUUCUUAUUCUUUUCAUGUGUUUAAAUCUGUGCAUUUCCAAAUAAGGUCUCUGUUACUCACUCCUUGAACCUUAAUGCUUUCUGUAGCACUGAACAGUGACAGAGUUAUGUGAACCUCUCUGCCUCACUGGGCACAUUUGUUCCCUCAGAAAUCAACACAGCAUCCAUAGACACUGACAUCUGAGACAGCCCUGGUGCUCUGCAUAGCACUGAGUUUCUCUUUAGACUACGUGGAUUGCACAGGGUGCCUCGCAAGGAACCACAGAGCAGGAAAGCAGGUCCUCAAGAAAGGUGAACCCCUAAUUGGAAAACACAGGCUCUCAUGUGCUGCUUUUUUUGCUGUCAUCUCAACCAGGUUUGGUUCAGGACCAGGUGAAGUUUAUUUCCCAGAUCAGCUCGGUAGGUUAAAUGUGGGCACCUGGUGCUGCUUAAAUACUGAGCCUUACAGGAGAGCUGCCUGUGCUUUUCAUUAGGUGGAUGCUGGAGAUUUCAGCUGGAUCUUCUCUAUACCAGAGCCAGGAGAUUGAGCUGCUGCUUUCAGGAACCUGUGGCAGGAAAACUGCUGUGAAAACUCAACCAGCUGCUGGAGCCUUUUCCAGGGUGCCCAAAGAUCUGGAAAGCCCAGACGAAGAGCCCAUAUCAACAAACAGCUUCUUGAAGCACCAGCACUUCUACUGGAUCAUCUCCCUGUUUGUGUGCUGGGAUGACAACGUGAUCAAAAAGAGCUUUAAGUACUGGGAAGCUGCAAUGAAAGAUCACAUAGACAACAACCCGUCAGUGGUGUGGUUGCCCAGUGGAAGUGAAAGCUGCCAACCUGACGUGCACAAAGCAGCUUCAGCAUAAGAUGAGCAGGUUACAAAGGACUCGUGUGAACUGCAAUGGAGCUCCAUGCAACAAGGGGAUGGCAAGGACAGCAGCAAGCCGCGCUGCAGGGAUUCUUGGAGUAGGAGGAAGGUUGUCUGGGCUUCCCCAGCUCUAUGAGUAAGGUCCCAGUGAGGUGUUCUUGGCAGGACAGAGGAAAUACAAACCUCUUCUGUAUGGAUCCUGUUCAAAGUGUGUUUGCUGAACAGUUCUUCCCAGCAGCAGCGAUUCUCAGUAACACCCACGCCUGGGAGCAGAACUAGAUCUGCUGGAAAGAUUUUGGAAGUACACUAAGCCUGACUGUAACUUGCUGCUGCUUGGUGCCGUGGCUCAUAGCCCUCUAAGCAAUGUGCUCCAGGGUAGUGUGGGAUUAACAUCUGAGAGGCUGAGAUGAUCUCCCUGUAGAUCCUGACUUCACUCUGAACCUGACCCAUUUCAGUCUGAACAUCUCUGGUGUUUUGCAGGUUGGUGCCUCCAGCCCCCACUGAUUUCUUUUGUUCUUGGAGCUGCAGGUUCAUGUAAGUAUGUUUCUAUGUUAAAUAUGGGUAGGGAAGGAGCAGGAAUGUCCUUCAGUCCAGAACAUCUCUGGUAACAGAGCAAAAAUGGAUCCCUUCAACCUUGGUUUCAAAGGUAUCUUAACUUGCUUUCUAAACUUAUCUCCAGACUUUCCAGCUCCGUUUUAGGAAACCUAAAAGUCAUCACUAUGAUUUCUACCAUGUCCCAAACAGGUGAGCAAAAUGGUGUGAGCUCAGGUACGGUGAUUGGGAUCAGCCAGUUCAAAAGGCACCCUAUGGGAGGUGACGUGAUAACACAUCAUUCUACAAAAGGUUUUGAUCUCCUGGUGCAGACACAAGGAGGAGGGUGAGCAAGACCUGUGUUCAGAGGUCACUUUGGUUUUUGAGAGAGGAAACAGCUCGUUUCUGAUGGGAAGUAUUUUAGAUUUCACUUGCUUUCUACUGCUGUCUGCUUCCCAGCUCAGACAACUGUUCUGUUCUUCAGCGUGCUUGCCCAGAGCUGUUGUAUACGACAGUUAAACAGUGUUUAAACAGCCAUGAGCCUGUUUAUUUACUGAGGCUAUAAAUUAUCUUGAAAUCGGAAUUCAUCAUACUGCAAAUGCCAUGUUUCAACAAGCAAGCUGGCACUCUGCUAGAAUUGCAAUCUAAUAGCCCUCCUCGCUGCUCUGCCAAGUUGCUGUCAAGGGCAAGUGUCCUUGCAUGGGUAAUUGCUGCCUUACAGAGAAUCCUGGUAUACUCAGAGUUGAUGCCUUUGAGUUUAUCUGCUGGUGUAUUGGGGAAUACUGCAGUAAGUGCAGGUCUCUGAUGGCUGAACCGUGCUUCAGAGUGAACUCAUGCUUGCCAGGGUUUGCCAUUAAAUGAAUGGGCUAUCCAGUAUCUUCCAGGCAUCAGCAGAAGUUGUUUCCAAGGUGUGUGAGAGGCUGAUGAUAAUCAAGGAGCCAGUGGGAUUUUCUUCCUCUCCCAGCCGGUAGAAGGUAACUGUUCCUGGAGCAGGUGGCUCUUAAACAGCAAAGCCAAUAGUAUCCUGUACUGUGCUGCUGGGUAUAUUUCUUUGACUGUAUUAGUUCUCCUGAAGCCACUGAUAUCGUGAAGAACUGAAAGGAUCUGUCUGAAAACACUUGAGCACGACACUUGUGCUAUACAAAGUGUGAAUCUAUUGUCAGGUAACGUUGGUCUGAAGUGUUUCAUCUUGGAGAUUCAACCAGUCAAUAUUAACAGCCAUCAAAAGCAGCUGCUGUUGCACAGUUCUUCUAGUAGAUGCUAUUUCUGGUCCUGUUAACAGCUGCUCCUCACUGCAAAGUGAGUGUGGACCUGGUGGUCCAGAUCCUGACUGUUGUUGCAUGAGUUGUGUUGGUUGGGUUGGCUCAUUCUGUGGCAGGUUGAGAGCAACAGCCGGUCAUCUCACUUACCUGCUCUGUGCUGUGUAAAUUAUUGCAUUCACAGUUCUGGAACCACACGGACUGGAGAUGGGAAAGAUCUGAGGUCAUCCAACUUCUCCAUUCCCCCCACAAUAGGGAAGGCUUGUUCCCUUCCACUGGAUUUUCCUGUACUUGGUCCAGUUUUAAGUGACUCAAGCAUUAGAGCUUUUCUUUUUCUGCUCCCUUGGGAGGCCUGGUGGAUUUCUCACUCUGAGAAAUGUUUUCCUCAUUCUCCACCUGAUUCUGUUCCUCUCUCGGAUUCCACAUUGCAGAUUCCACAGUGGAAGAGAACAUAAGGCUGUGGUGGGUUAAUGCUCAUAGUGUUAUUGGAGAACUGGUUAACUCUUUUGGUGUCACUUUGAUUGUCCUGAAACAAAAAGGAUGUUCCCUUUGGAUGGGAAAACAUCGAGAUGAGUGUCUCUAAGCCUGGUAAGCAUUGAUAGUUUGGGCAGUAUGGGCACCAAGACCUGCUGGUCCUCCUGGAAAUUAGAUGUUUGUGGAAAGAUUUCUUCUAUAGAGCAUAAGCACGCCUCCAAAUGGGAGAUUACCACCCUUGGAAUGUUGAACUAAAUGGCAAACUGAACAUAUGGUAAUGGCUGUUCUUUACUUCUGGCUUUGCUUGUGCCUAGCACUUAGUUGAGAAGCUUGCUUUUCCUUAACAAGCAUAGGAUUGCUAUUAUAGCAUGGAUAUUAUAGCAAUAGCAUGGAUUGCUUUCUUUGCUUUAUCCUGCCUGUGCUGCCAAUGCUGUGCAACCAGUGGCUCAGCUAAUGCUGAAGUAGCUCUUAAAAUAUCAUCUGCUAAAUAGAUGGGUUGUGAUGGGAUAAAGCAUCUUCCAUGAAGGAUGAGUGGGAUCAGGCCUUGGAGACGCUGUCAAAUGGGAGCCAGUAUGAGAAGAGGCAAGUAAAUAUUUAACAUGUGGUUGUGCAAGGGACAAGACUGGAAUAAAACGUAAUAAUGGCAGAGAUGUUAAGGGUGGGGUGGGCACUUGGUAGGGGUUGAGAGGUCUGUGGUAGCGUAGUGCAUCAUUUGAUGGGGAGCUUUGUUUUUUGUCAGGAAUCACCUGAGAGGCUGCUUUGUGCAUCACCCUAAUUGAGCAGAAGGCUCCGUGACACAUUCUCUGCUGUGGUUUGACCAGAGGAAUGUUUGUUAAUGCAGUGCACGCUGCUGAGAUCACCCUUCUGGCAAAUGCCUGCUGUGGUAUGAGACCCAGUCAUCUGGCAGCACAUUGCUUACUGCAGUCUCCAAGGCAACCCUCCAUGCUGUUCUUCUUUGGAAGCUCUGCGCAUUCGUAAAGAAGCUGUCAUCCCUCUUACUGUAAGUGCAGCAGAUGUGAAAGAUUUUACCUGUGCCAAUGAGCCCCAGAGCAGGAUGCUGUUGCUCAGAGGGGCAGUGCUGCAUUAGGUAUAAUGCUCCUCUCUGAAGGGCUCCGUCUGUCCACUCGUGGCAUUACAAAAUGUCUCCUGCUUUGUGCUCUGUGCCUUUUAAUGUGUCUGUAGCCAACAGCGUUUGCACAAAGAGGCUGAGCUGCCACCAGGAUCACAGAAGAUCUCUUCUGAGUCACAGCUUUGCAGUGCUGACAGCUGCCACAAUAAGAAUUCAUUUCGGAAGGCUGGUCCCAAGGUGGAUUUAAUGGUCCUGCACUAAAAUGUGAAUACUUCUGGUGUGGAAACAACUGCAGUGUGGACCCUGGUGUUUCAUAGAGGCUUCUUUGUUUCUUCUGAGCUGCCAAUUGCAUUGAUAAGGAAGAACAGCCAUCUUCUCUGCUAUGGAUGCUGAACCUGACAGUUCAGAGGGGCAUUUAUUUGCCUCCAGUGCCCCAUCAGAAGCCCUGUGGGAGGCUGCAAAUCAAAUAGGGUGGAUAUCUUCUCUUCUGUAACCCUGGUACAUGCUUAGCACUAGUAAAUAGAAAUCGACUUGUCAGUGUUAUGCUGGCCAAUGCUAAAACUCAGUCUGGAACUGUAAGGCCUCAGGUUUAUGUUCUGUCUCCUCUCAUGUUUGUUUUUCUGACUGAUCUGAUGGUUGUGCAGAAAUCAAGGCCUGGCGCUUUCUUUCUGCAAGGGUAUUGCGAUUCUUUAGGGGUGAGCAAGGGAAAAACUCUAUGUCCUUUGUGUGGAAGGAACCACAGCUCCUUGCCUCCCUUGGUAGGUGAUGUGUAGUCCUGGACCAGAAGAAUUGAUCCAUCUUCAAAAUGGCAUCUGACUCUAUUUCUGGUUUGUUUGUUUUUAGGGUCGUCAACAUACAGCAAGAGUCUCUCCUCUUUUUGGAGGAAGCCCAAGCUGCCAUCUCAGAAGGGUGGCUGAACCAAAUAACAGCUGACAUUAAAACAAGGAGAUGAGUCCUGUUCUGCCCAGUGCACCCAUGAUCUGAGGAGCCCAAGUCCAGGAGCAUCAGCUGGGCUGGAGCUGCUGAGCAUAGAAACUGAGGAGGACCAAGGUAUUUGCAAACUGGAGGAUUCAUGCUGGGGACACAAAUCAGCAAGCAGGCAGUGGCAUGGGAAGUGGGUCCCUCUGCUGGUACAGAAGUGAUUGCAGGGCAUUAAUACAAAUCCUAAUACAGGUGAAGGUGAUGCUGGAGUCGUAUUAAUGUUUUCAGCUCUUGUCCCAACCGCUCCAAGCUCUGCCUUGCCAAACCCACGAGACCACAAACACGACUCAUCUCGAGUUAUAGGCGCAGUAAACACAUCCAAAGCAAUGCCAAGUAAUUCAGGGCAGAUGAUGCUUCGUGCAGGGCCUGUCCUGCUGAUAGCUGAGAAUGAGCACUCAUUUGUGCUGUCUCGAGGUGAGGAAUGGCUGGUGGGUCUCCAUCUCUCUGAUGCUGUGUUUGUUUCUUGACCAGUAGGACUGGACAGAGGGUCUGCACAGAGGUAGGAGAACCUGCAGGACCCACAGGAGUGGCUGUGGGGAGAGGGGAGGGGAAUGUCUGGGCAGCUCAAGCUCCCACAGGGAGCUGAGUGGCUUGUUCUGGUCCAGCCUAAGCAUCUCUCUUCCAAAUGCAAGAAUGAGAGCAUGGCCAGAACAGAGCACUGCAGCUGUGGCACCCUGGCACCCAGCCCAGGUCUGCCCAUGUGGAGAAAUGAGGCACAGACCCUCCCCUAUGAGCCCCAGCAGCUGUGCUUCUGGCACACUAUGGCCAAUGCAGCACCUUGGCAGCCCUGUCUGCCUGCAGCACUCUGGUGAGACUACGAAGCAGUUAAAAUCCUUUUAAAAUCCUUCUGUCCCCUGGACAAAGAAGCUGGCAGCAAUGGAGAGCAGCUGCAUGCAGCACAAAUCCAUCUGCACCCACAACCAGGCUGGACUUUGGAUUUGAGGAAUGGGCUUGUUUUCCUGGCCAUAGGAAGCAGUGUGGCUGAGCAUGCAGAGCAGUCCCUGUGCCAGCCAUAGAAGAACCUGCAGCAGUGCUGUCCCUGUGUUUCCAUGUAGGAAGCACAGCACGAAGGAGCUGAGCUGUGCCUCUCUGCAUUGGAAUGGAGCCUGAGGAUGCCCAAAGCAGCACAUAAGGAGCCAAGCUGUGAACACCCCUCUCUGCCCCUGGAUUCUGCCUGCAAGGAACUCAUUGCUGUAUGCUGGGUCCUGCACAACGCAGCCACCUCAGUGCAAUGGGAACGGCGGUGCUGGCUUCCAAGGAGCAACCUGAGGCAUAACGAGAAGGUAAUUCCUCUCUCCCUGCUCUCUGUGGCAGGGUUUUGCCUUUCCAGGUUUCCCUCCAUUUGAGGCCACGUUUCAGCCCUGCUUCAACCCUCAGCAUCGCACCAACAGAAGCCGGGCCCAGGAUUGCUGACCCAGAGCAGCUGAGAUCCACGGAGAAGAGAGAAGCAGCUUCAUCCCCUCCCUCAUCACUGAAGACCAGACAGAAGAUGACAAUUAAUUGAUUACAGAAUUAAUGCAAUGAGAGAGAAUAGAUGAUGAGAGCAUGGAACCUGAACCUCUCCCUCCCGCUUGCUUCUAAAAACACUAAGUGUUUUUUCUUUUUUUUUUUUUUUAAUUUUUUUUUUUUUUUAAAGUUUGAUUAUUUUUUUUUUUUUAUUAUUCCCUGUUGACUGACUGUCCAUUCAGGUUCGCUGUGGGACCUGCACCUGCUUAACUCAUAAAAGAGGGACAAAAAAUCAAUGUGUGGAUGGAAGGAAUUAAUUCCUAAGCUGAGAUGGGGGGGUUUGGGAGGGUGAAGUAACAAAUGGCUGCGCUCAGCCAACAGCCCAAGGCUGGGAGUCUCAGCUGCAGUGAGGUAGAGGCUCACAAUUGGAGGCAGCGCCUCAGAGCCAGCGUUGUCCCCCCCCCCCCCGGUGUUUUGCAGGUGAUGGUUGUGUCUGAGGGUUGAGCCCAUCCCUAGAGCCCCGUCUGCUCCUUGACCCACGUCCGCAGUGCUGUCAGCCGGCUGUACACUCCAGGCUUGUUUCUCUGUGCGCAGCCAUCACCCCAGCUCACAACGCCAGCCAGGAACAUCCGCCCGCUGUCCUCCACGCUGACCAGGGGCCCCCCGGAGUCACCCUGUAUGAAACCAAACCACACCGUAAAUAUGGAACCAUUAAGGCUUUAAGUAAAUCCCAAGAUUAGAAUGAAAUAAUUUGAAGUGCUCUCAGGCACAGUGAGCAGGGUGCAGCUGCACUGCUCUGACCCGGUGAUCCAUUUAUGAGACCACAGCAUGCAUCAAUAAACACACUUUGCUGCUGCCGCAUGUUCUAGUUUGUCCGUGUGAACCCAGAAGGAUCCAGGCGGCUGCGCAGCAUAUUAUUAAGUGUGGAAAUGUGAGUCAGUGUGCCGGAAUAAAAAAGUGCUGAGCCCACCUGGCACGCGUCCACGCCGCCCGUCAGGACCCCCACGCACAUCAUGCGCUGCGUCAGCUGGUCGGUCAGCAGUUGGUUGCAGAUGGUCUGGUUGAUCACCCGGAUUUCUGCUUUCUGCAAGAUGGCGGAUCCACUGCCUGCAAGGACCAGAAACUGUGGGACAUCAUUACAGCAUCCAAGAGCUGAAGGCAAGGCAACUCACAGAGCCAAGAUGGGACUUUGCUUCUAUGUCUUCAAGCAAUGGAAAAAUCCCUGGCAAACUGACCACAGCCACAGCUGCACUUCCCUCUUUAACUGCUUGUGGUAGGGAGAGGUGGGGGAAACCGGGCCAAGGUCUAAUGCUUACCUUUCAUCUUUGGGAGCUGGAAGAACUCAGCCUUAAAGCCAGGGAAUCUCCCCUCCUUGUUGGUAAUCAACGUGACGAGCAUAACGUUCUGGGAGGACAGGAAGGUCAGGUUGUAUGAAGGGGCAUAAUUCCCACAGAGCCUACAAAGGAAGGAACAGAAUCCUGUCAGGGAGCUGCAUAGUGAGCCUCAAGUAGCACAGAGGGACACAAGUUCCACCCAACACGAACCCCUCUCCUGCCACCCCAUGGAGGAGCACCAAACCCUGGGGACACUCACCUCACCAAAGCAUGGGGCUCCACAGGGCUCAGAGAGUCAUACACCUUGAUGUAGUCACUGCUGUCUGUGCACUGCUCCAAGUCCAACGUCUUGAAGGUCAGGCUGAUGAUGGAGUUGGCAUCUGCCCUCAGUGCCCAGUAGCAGCGCGCAUUGUUGGGGUAUGGGCUGUUGGGGAACCCCGGCGUGGUGAAACUGGUGAUCUCCCCUUCCUUGGCGUGGAGGGCAAAAAGGCAGCUAUCUGCCCAGGAGAAGAGCAAAGAGUUAUCGGGGCAAAUGAGGAGGAGGAGAGAUGUUUCUUGUGGGUGCAGGUAUACAGAGGACAGCAGAAGUGUUGGAGUUUUGCCUUCCUUGAGAAAGGCACUGCAGAAUAACAGCAAGUUCAGCCAACCCCAAACCAGCUCCGAGCAGCACAUGGAGAUCUGCCACAGGCAAAGCAGCUCCCUUCAGGCCCUUCCUCACCCCAGAAGGGAAACUGCCACCCUGCAGACACAUAGGGAUGCACAGAAGCCAUUACAAUGAGACUGAAGAACUGUACUUACUGUCCCGUGCAGUCUGAGCGAUGCUGGGGUCGGCAGCUGCAGGAAGAAAGAGAAACGCUCUCACCCUUUGAGCUGUGAAAAGCCCCUGCACACAAAGCUGAGGGCACCCAAAGAAGGGAUACACCUGGUAAAACACCAGAGCCUCCCCUCUCCUCCCCAACCCCACACAGAGAUGCAGCACUCACGGAAAGCAACGAUGGACUCCACCCUCAGCGUGGGGUUUCGCAGCCGUGGGUUCAGCCUCUGGACCAAGUUCUGCUUGUCUGCCAUGGCCCUGUCAAGGUUCUCCUCGCGGUACUUGGGGACGAUGAACUCUGACAAGUAGUAGGCAAUGACACUGCCUUCGCUGUGAGGAAGGGUGGUUAUGGGGCGAGGGCAAGGACAGCAAGGACAGACAUGGAAGGGCUGAUGUAUCAAAAGAGAGGGGGCCAGUCAAUUGAUAAGCCGUUUUGGAGGAUGACCAUAGGAAAGCUGAGCAAACUGAAGAUCAGCAAAGGCCCCAGUCAGUCUGUGAAGACCCUUUCCAGGCUGCCAGACAUCAGCUGCUGUGGUUUAUAGGGCUUACUGCACCUCCUAACACUCACCUGAAUGCAGUUAUUACUGUCUCCUUAUGGUAAGGGCCAAUAUCUGGAUGACUCCUGUAGAUAUCCUCAACCUAGAAGGAGUUUAAAAGAAGAAUGAUCAGCACAUCUUAAAGCGAGGAGAGUGGAAAGGACAAAGACAGACAGAGCUUCAAGCCUCUGGAGGAAAAUCAGAACGCAUAACCAGCAUCCUUGGAGUGCAGGAAUCUGCAGGGGCCAAAGAGCAGGAGAAGGAGAACUAAAAGGAGACAAGAGUCCAGACUCCUGCAGCCAGCCCCUGCCUCAAUCUCCAGCCCCAAAGCUUGCUCAGCUGUAGAGCUGCUUUCCCUCCCUGACCCUGCAUGCCAGGCCUGGGAUUUGCCUUGGCACACUAGACCACAGGGCAGGCAGACACCCUGGCAAUGGGCUGGAGCUGUGACAUCAAUUAAAAGUGAGUCACACGACUCGUGAUGAGCAGGAAGAGUUGAGAGAAGCGAGAAAGCUCCAAGUAGGAUCUUUAUGGCCACACAAGUGAAAUAAAAACCCAGCAGUAGGGAUCCAAGUAAAUGCUCACCGUGCUCUUCACCUUCUUAGCCAGCAUGAUGAAGUCUGCAGAGCUGGAAUUCUCAUAGGCAUCAAUGAACUCCCAGUUCAGAACUCGUAGGUGGCCAUUGAAGACUUUGUGCACGGGUGCGUUCCUGUCUGGAAGGUUAGUAGAAAGGUCACACGUGAGCAACACUUGGUAAUGAAGCUCUUCCAAAUCCACAAUAGCAGGGUUAUGUUCCCAGGGCCACCACCCCAUGUUAGCUUAACAUCACACUCACAUUUGAAGUGCCAAACCAGGAGGCCAAUGACCAGGGAGAUGAGCAGAAAAGCAAUGAUCAGAAUGGCCACAACUACCCUUCGCUUCGGGCCACGCUUCUCCAUCUUCUUGGAGUUCAUGGCAGGGAGGAACUCCACCCCUUCCUCCAGGUUGUUCAUCUCCUGUGAGGGGAGAGAAGGCAGGACAACAUUAAGGUCACUUCCCAAGCUUGGUUUGGAGAGAUCCAGCUGCAAAGCAGUCUGGCACCUACAGACACAGAGAUGCUUUUGGGCAUCACUGAGAGCACAACACACACCUUGGUGCCAGCAGCCCCACAGCCACCCCAAGCAGGAUCCUACAAAGACAGCAGUGCUAAUGUGUGCCUCCUCCUCACACCCCAAAAGGAAACGGAUGCUUCCUUCUGGGCCUAACCCAAGCUGUUUGAUCAACCACUGGGGCAGCCCAUGAUCAGCACAAUGGCUGUGGCAGGUCCCAAACCCAGAACCUCAGGGAUUGCUGCCUUCUGGUGGAUGAAAAAGCAAACAGAAAAUCACCUGCUAUGAGGCAGACGUGCCACCCCACAGGACACAGCACACUAUAAACAGAGCUCCUGAAACUGAAGGCAAACUACUUCCUCCCUGUACAUUCACACCACAAUACACAUUUGCUGGGCCAACACAACACUCCUACAUUCCUGCCCGGAUCUCUCACUCAGGACAAACACCUUAUAGAAGCAACACAACACAAGGACGAACAGCAAACAAAUCCCCCCAACCAGCAGCCUGUCCCUCAGGACAAAAUGUGCUGGCAGACAACCAGCAGGUCUCACCCAGGAGUGAAGAACAGCACACAACCAUCACACAACCAUCACCGCCCUGCACUGGGCUGGGCCAUGGAGGGGAAGGGCUCUGCCACAGCACACAGCUCUGCAUCAGCUCUGCACGCACAGGAUGAAAGCUCAGGGCAGGAAGCAGUGUCAGCAAGCCCUUGCUGCAUUGGGGUUUCACUUUCUUGCCCCAGCUCCUUGCCCUGCCCAUGUACCGACAGCAGCCCAGGCUUCAACCAGGGAGGGAAUCAACUUGAAAGAGAAAACCCACCUCCCAUCCCCUUGCUCUGCUGAUGAGACAAGCUUGCCCUGUGUGCCCGCUCAGUGUACAGAAAGGAGGAGGGAUGACCUCACGCUCUCCUUACGAAAGCUGGAGGGCGUAACCGAGAGCCAAGAGACACACCAGGAGUUUGGAAACAGACAGACAGAGGAACCUGCCUGGUGCCCACAGCAUGGGGAGAGCAGCCCUUGCUGGGCACACAGGAAGCUCAGCACAUCCUGCAGCUGACAGCAAGGACACAACAACCCAAAAUGCUGACCAGCACAAACCUGCUGCUUUCAAACACAUCGCUGUGCUAUGGAAGGGGAUACAGCCCAGAAGGCUCAGAAAGCCACAAGGACCAUCCCACUGCAACUGCUCUGCUGCUGGUUUAGCUUCCACCACCACACAGGGAACUUGAAAAUGCAAACCAAGCAAACUUUGUAAGAGAGAACACGCAAAGAGAACUGGAAUACAAAUAUAUGCCUCAAACCAAGAAAAUCCUCCAUCAAAAUCAAGACUUUGUGUCUGAUGAACCAUAUUCAAACACUCAAACAGCACCACUUGGCUCCCAGCAGUUCCCAAAGCAAACAAAUCAGCAUCUCCCCUUCCCCACUGCUGGACUGAUUGUACAGCCAACCCUUCCCAGGGCCUGGCCUCCAGGAUUACCAACAUGCUGCUGUUGUUAGCAAAAGGAAAGUAUUUAAUUCACUUCUAACAUCAGCAGGAGCCCAUGGCAAGAGAACAACCUCCAGGGCUUUAAUGAUGUUCACAUGGCAGCAGCUUCCCUGGGCUUCCCAGGAUCCAGAGAUAAAGAGGUUUCUGUCCCUGCCCUCUCUCUUAAGGUCUCAUCCCCUCCCAUGCUCACACCUCACAAACCUCAUUAUGUUUCCCAGCCUCCUCUGUCAUGCACGAAGAUGCUUUGAAAACCUGUUGCAGGUUGGGCAAGCACCGGUGAUUCCUGAGAAGUCCCUUGUCAAUACAAAGGAUCUGAAGCAUUCCCCAAGCACCACGAGAAUGUACCAGACCAUGCCAGGCAGAUCUCAGACAAGGCUCUGUCCCAACCCCUGAGUAAUCUUUCCUGCCCACACUCAGCACAGAAAGCACCUAUUUGACCUUAGUACCAGAUACGUCUGUGUCCGAAUGGCACAGCUCAGCUCUGCUCCACGCUCACUGUGCUGCACAUCCCCUUCACCAAGCAGAAACCAGAUGGAACCAAGAGCAAGAAAGAGCCAAAAGAUCACAGUAAAACCAAGAGAAUGAUGAUUGCUUUUAAAUCUCCUUUAGCUGACCAUUGCUGUGCAUUUCCCUUGCCCACACCAACCAUUCCCUUCACCACAACAGCUUGGCAGAUAUAAAUCAGAGGCGAUGUGAACGCACGUCCCGCUCUCACCUUGUUCAUGAUGCCCCAGGAGACGCUGGUCUCAGCCCUCUCAAGGAAAUGACUUCUCUAAACCUUAACAGAAAAUCCUUCCUUGAUAUUCUCCCCGCGUUAGUCACAGGUUCAGUUACUUCCUCUUGCUCCUCCUCACUCUGGGCCUCGCUCACUGCGUUGCUCUCUGUAGGCACGGAGGUUUCUGACUGGUGCUGCUGCCAUGUAGUGUCUUGGGAGGAAAGUCACGUGCCAAGAGAGUGAAAGGGUCAGAGAGGUGUGUGUCGCUGAUGAGGAGGCAGGACGUGCACACAGGAGCAGCUUAUCCUGAGCUGUAACACCAGGACAUGGAGAGAAGUCUGCUUUCUCUGCAGCUCACUGCUGAAAAGCCUCCAGGUGACAAGAAGGGGCUGUUUGUACAGCAGCACGAGCCUGGGCUUCCUCAGAACAUCCUUAGGGAUGUUUAAUAAUCCCAGUCUUUUUCUGAUGGGGCAGAGCAAGCAACAGCCCAAACUGCCCCCCAAAAAAGACCUAAAAAGCCCUCAACCAACCAGCAGGUGAAUCUUUAACUGUUCAGAGUGCUGGGCUGCAGCAUGGGGAGCUGCAGCAUCCAGUGCCACCUUCGGUUCCUCCUGGAGCACAGACUGAGGAGCAUCAGGAGAGGAGAGCACAGAGAUUUGUACUGCGAGGUCUCCCCAUUGACGGACUCCCAGUACGUCAGCAAACCUUCCCACUCCUCACUAAAACAGCUACGUAACUUAUUUUUAGACAGUGACCGUAAUCGGCCCGACUGGACAAACCAGAAGAUGCAGGAGUGACUAAUUCUGUCAGCAGGAAAUGCAGCAGGGACAAGGGGAGGGUGGGAGCUGCCACGGCAGACUCAGGACUGGAGAUGCUUUACUGGAAAGCAGAGAUUCAUUGCAGCAGGGGCUCCCAGGAAGGUCGGGAGGUGGCUCUUCCCAGCAAGAGGAGCUGUGGGAUGUUUACAAAGGGCAGGCCAACGUGGGAUCUGCAUUACCCCUCCUGGAUGGUUUCAUGCUGGCUGAUAGUGCUGGCAGGGCAGCUCAGCACAGCCCACACACCAACAGCCCCCGCUGCUCUGCACCCCUCCCAGCCACGUCCUCUGACCCGCUGGCCAUGUCUGCCCCAUUGGACUCUGCCCCACACAACUGCUGGGCUCUUGGCCGUGAGUUUCACCUGUCUCUUAUCAACGAUAGUUAAUUUGUUUGCCCAGCACAACACAGAUAUGGGAUUCAACUGCUUCCCUUGGCUGCUACCACAUUCCAGCCCCAUCUCCUCUGCCAUGGAUCCACACAGGAGCAAACAGCAGGUGUGUGACCAACACAGCAUCACCCAGCUCUGCUGGCAGCUCUGCACAGCCCCUUUCCUUCCCUCUGCUCCAUCCCUGCACUAAGGCUCCCUGUCUGACACCAAGGCAGGAAGAUGCAGUGCAAAGUCAGAGGGGAUGUGGGAGAGGUCCCCUGAGAUGAAGGAGGGACAUCAGAUCAUUACCGGACCCUUGCCAAGUCAUCACACUCUUCAGAUCCCAGCCCCCAUAGCCAAGAGGCAGUUCUCACCUCCCCUUUGCCAGCCACACCUGCUCAAUAAAAUCCAAACCAAUUCUCACAUGAGCAGCACAGUAAAUACAAGAGGGACGACAGCCACCAGCCACUUGAGCCAUAUCAGCUACACAACUUGUGACCAACUCCUGCACCAACCCCUGCUGAGAACCCCAGCGCUGCUCCAGAAAGAAAACCUGCACGGAUCAUUCUCAUGCAAACUCCUGAUAACAACAAUAUAUGGAAAUAGACGACAUACAAGCUAAGUUUCAUUAAGGCACAUUCACAUUGCAUUCCCCCAGUAUUGGCAGUAAAGCACUGUCGAAACUUUAUCAGUGCUUUAUUUUCCUCCAGUAGUUCCUUAUUAAGGGCAAUUGCGCUAUAAAACGAUGGCGUCUGAACCAAGAAGGGAAUAAGGGGCAGAAUCCUCCAGACCGUCCAACUUCCAGGCAGAGAGGGCAAGUUUAACAGUGAGAGAUACCUGUCACACAGCAAUUCCAAACACGGGCCUUUAUAGCAUUCGAUUGCCUUGUGACCGCCCUGAGUCACAGAGAAACCGAAUUCCCUUGGGUUAAUGGCAGAAGAAACUCAGUUAAUGUUUGCACAGGACAGCACGGGCUUGGCUCGCUACCCUGCAUCAGCCUUAUCAGCACAGCUGUGUCAUGCAACGCGCGGCUCGGAGGAGUGACCACAUCUAUUUGUGUUUCUGCUGGAGCAGAUUCUUUUCCAUGUAUGACUGUCAGCCUUGGGCAGAGCUGGGAAUUGAAGUCAUCUCAGAGGCCUGACGGAUAGUUCUGAGUCUUGUAGUUCCUCCCCUAUUUCCAAAGCCCAGAAGAGAAGCAUUCCACAGCUGUAAAUAGCUGAUUUAAACCUGCCUGGUGCACAGCACUGUCUGAACAACAAGAACACCCCCAGCUCUGCUCCAGACCUCAGUGAAGCAUCCUAAGCUCAUCAUUAUGUUUCGCCCACAGUCUUUACUGGCUCUUCCAGUCCUUGAGGUGGAGCUGGGCCAAGAUAUUUCAGUACUUGGGGUCAGCAGCAGGGGAAAUACCAGAACCUCCAACCAAGCAAAGCCUUCUAUCAGCAAAUCCACCCUUUCUCAGCCGCUGCAGUAACUUCUCUCUCUUCCGUGUGAGCCCAUUGCCCAGAUAUCACAGCACGGCUCCUGUAAGGUGAGACUGCAAGGCUGGUUGGAAAUGGUGAGGUGAGAACCUUUGGUCCCAUACGUUCCCCAGUCCGGCCCUCAAUACCGCUCUCCCUGUUCCCUCAAUAGUUUUACAGUGAUCUUUUGUUUACAGAGCAAAGGUCUUCCGCACUCUCGAUCAACCUCAGCCUCUUUCUCUCUGUACUUUCCUUAUCCGUUUUUGCCUUUGGCAAGAAGAGCAGCAGAACUGGCCCCAGCAGCAGCAGCAGCUCACCCAGCAGCCACCGGCACUGCACCUUUCUAAGGAUGAGGAUUAGCUUCCCCAUGCACUGCACCCACGGGCUGCAAAUCUCACAGCACAAAGCACAGUCGUUGCACAACACUCCCGUGUGCCCCACCGCCAUGUUUGCAGGUCCACCAAGCCCAGCAGCAGUCAAACCACCAGAAACAAACCCCUCAAAGUGUCCAUCUGCAAGGAGAGACCUCGCAGUGCACGUCAGCUCUUGUGCUCAGACUGCAGGGAAGGACAUGGCACGUCCCUGAUCCUGGCAGCAUGAGCGGGUUGGUUCGAGCAUCCAGCCCUGAUGUGCAGAUGUACAAAACCCACAGCUGCCAAACGACCACUCAGAUUGGAAAAGACCUCUGAGACCCCCAACCUCAACCCCAUCCCCUACAUCCCUCUAGUGCCACAUCCCCAUAGGGAUGCUGACCCCCCCGGACAGCUGAGCAGUGCAGCACCGCUCACUGGGGAUGAAGCUGCUCCUAAUAUCCAACCUGCACUUCCCCUGGCACAACCUGAGCCCAUCAGCUCUCACCCUGUCCCAGCACAGCAGCAAUGAUCCCUAAUACCCUUUUUCCUGUAGAACAACCGCUUGGCACAAGCCUUCAUGGGGACAGAGGACCUCACCCAUCCCACUGCAGACUCUCCCUGCGCUGUGUUGCACACUCAGGGCUGGAAGCAGGGUGACCUGUUUCUCUUGCUGUGGGUCAGCUUCCUCCUCAGCGCUCCAGCAACCAGCCACCAGGUGACAGGUCCAAAACACCAAGCAGGGGGCAAGAAAACGCGCAGCUCACCGCUGCUUGGCUUUAAAAACACGCAGGUAACCCAAAGCUUAAUGAGCAAAGCCGCACAGCUCUCGCGGCCGUCGGAGCGAACGACGAAGCUCAGCAACCCGAACCCAGCAGCGCAACUCCGCGCUCCCACCUAUGUCACCGUGGAGCACUUUAAGCUGAAAAUCACAACAAUUCAUUCCCCUCCGUUGCUGCCGCAGCCCCGCCGUGCUCACCUGCAGCCUGGCCGUGUACUUCAUGCCGCCGCCGGGCACCGUGCUGCCCCGCUCCAUCCCCAGCGCCGCCGGCUCAGGCCGCCAUAGCGCGGCGCAACGCGGUCCCUCCUCCGGUCCAGCCCCUCCGGCAGGUGCGGGACGGGAAGCAGGAAGCGGCCCGGGAGCCGAGCGGGUCGGGGAAGGGGUGAAAGGAGCGGCUGGGGGUGCGGGUUGGUGCCGGGUGUGCGCCCCGUCGGGCCGAUGGAGUCGCCGGCAACGAUGCGUCCUGGGGUGAAGCGCGAUGAGGUGACAACAGCCGGACUGUAGGAACCUGGGCUGCACCACGGACCCGCCCGAGCACAACGUGUCCUUAAGGGCACCCUCUGUGCCCCCAUUCAGAUCACUGAGAUAGCAGCAAAGUUCCUCUGUCCAUCUGGUAGCCAAACCCUGAUGCCUCCAACACACGGACCCCAGCUCAGGUACCUCCAACCAGCAGCACGUCUCCUCUGUCCAACACAUACCCCGACACAGAUCCCUCAAGUAACAACGCAGCUCCUCUGUCCAGCCAGAACCUUCACUCACAUCCAUGGACAGCCAUGAUCUGUCCAUCAUGUACCCAACCCUGACUCCUCAAAUAGCACUGCAGCCUUUCCAUCCCUCCUGUACCCAUAUUUGGAUCCCUCAAGUAACAGCACAGAUGGCCCUUAAAGUCUCUUCAAUUAAUCAUCCUCCAGCCAGAGGGAAACAGAUGCAAAAUGACACAAGACACAGCAGAAACCACACUAUAUCCACAUUGCACACUGCAAGAUUCGGGCAGUGCAUCACAGGGAUCUACACUCCUAACACAGUUUUACCCCAUCAUUCCCCUCUUCCUGGGAAGAUGCCCCUAAUGACAGUAAUUUCUAGGGUUCCUACAUUCAACAUCACACACCACCACCUUCCUUGAAAUAGUUCUUUCCUUCUCCACGUUACAUGUCACAGUCUAUGCCUCCAGGCAAUGCACCCCUCCAAAAGCCACAUUCUGAGCAGGUCUUCCUUUAAAUCAACUGCCUCCAGCCCUGAAACUGAACUCUUUCCAUACCUGAACACUCCCACCUCUCUGCUUUGCUGUAACAGAAGCUGAUUCACAGCGCCGCAGGGAGAUGUGAGCUGGGUUACCUUUGUUUGCCCUUGCUCUAAAAUGGCCCCUGCAGAGCGUGAGCUUCCUGUCCCUUUUGCAGGUGUCUCCCUGGGGAUAAAGAGAUGAUGUUUGCUCUCUGAACCUGCUGUUUUCUCCCUGGGUGAAAUACUUAACCCCUUUGCUCCUAUAGAGAUGCUCCUGCUACUGCUUUCCUGGCUCCCUGGUCAGCUACCGGAAUCACAUUGAGCACCACAGGGCAGGAACUAUCUCCAGAUUUAAGGUAUCCCCAUUCAAAAGGUGGCUUUGUUAGUCAGCCCGAUGAAACCACACGGCUGGCUGAUGUCAGGAGCUGCUCUGAGCUCUCUCUUGAUGCCCAGCCCUUCCCAGCACUCCAGUUUUACAGCCUUUCCCUCCCUGGUUGACUGCAGCUGCUCCAAUCUGAUUUAAACCCCAGUAAAACAGCGUGUGUACAAAACAGCUACUCCAAGCUGAACCACUGCUCUUUGUCUCUGCAAAUUCAUCCUCCUUUCCUGCAUAUCAAUUCAUCUCCUCCAGGCAGGUGCCAAGAAAAUGCUGUGCUCUGGGAUGUGGCUAAUGAGGGCAGUCUCACUCUUUGAGACCCAAAGUGUCCCUUGCAAAGAUCCACAGCUCUUGGGUUCACGCAGAGCUGCAAAUGCUCAGUGCUUCCCGUCAUUCAAGCCACUGUCAUUGAAUUCAUUAGCCCAGUUGGCUCUUUGAAAAAGGAGAUACAAUCAUUGCUGGGAAAACAAGAAAGCAAUCCAUGUGCUGAAUAUAAAACAUUACGUAGCUGGAAGGCAGUCAGUUCACAGCCUUAAAUGAUAGGAUUCCCUUUUCUUUGCUGCCAGAGCAUGGUGAUUUACUUAGUGGCUGUUGCAAUAAUGGCUAAGUUGCCACGGUAAGAUGAUGUCCCGCUCCUUCUGACCACUGUACAGACCCAAAACAUCAAAGCACCAUUCUCAAUAAGCAUACAACACGUGCUUUUGCACCAGCAAACGUGCCACGUGUCUCUCUGGUCUGACUGAAGGAUGCUGAACUCAGCAAGUCCAUCUCCACUAUUAAGAAAGAUGUAAUUAAA